rnacentral:rRNA from 1 species
UCGAGAAUCUUCGUCAAUGGGCGAAAGCCUGAACGAGCGAUGCCGCGUGCGGGAUGGAGGCCUUCGGGUUGUAAACCGCUGUCGAAUUGGAAGAAAUGCAUAGUGUAGAAUUAUGCUUGACUGAUAGUUGGAGGAAGGACGGGCUAAGUUCGUGCCAGCAGCCGCGGUAACACGAACCGUCCAAACGUUAUUCGGAAUCACUGGGCUUAAAGGGUGCGUAGGCGGCGUAUUAAGUAAGGUGUGAAAUCCCUCGUCUCAACCGGGGAACUGCGCUUUAUACUGGUAUGCUUGAGUGAGAUAGAGGUAAGCGGAACUGAUAGUGGAGCGGUGAAAUGCGUUGAUAUUAUCAGGAACACCAGAGGCGAAGGCGGCUUACUGGGUCUCAACUGACGCUGAUGCACGAAAGUCAGGGUAGCGAAGAGG